rnacentral:rRNA from 1 species
CCUACGGGAGGCAGCAGUGGGGAAUAUUGGGCAAUGGAGGCAACUCUGACCCAGCAACGCCGCGUGAAUGAUGAAGGUCUUCUGAUUGUAAAGUUCUGUGAUGGGGGAUGAACACCAUGACGGUCCCCCAAUAGCAAGCCACGGCUAACUACGUGCCAGCAGCCGCGGUACUACGUAGGUGGCAAGCGUUAUCCGGAUUUACUGGGUGUAAAGGGCGUGUAGGCGGGAGUGCAAGUCAGACGUGAAAUUCCAGGGCUCAACCCUGGAACUGCGUUUGAAACUGUUGUUCUGGAGUGAUGGAGAGGCAGGCGGAAUUCGGGGUGUAGCGGUGAAAUGCGUAGAUAUACGGAGGAACACCAGUGGCGAAGGCGGCCUGCUGGACAGUAACUGACGCUGAGGCGCGAAAGCGUGGGGAGCAAACAGGAUUAGAUACCCGGGUAGUC